rnacentral:rRNA from 1 species
AGUGAACGCUGGCGGUAGGCCUAACACAUGCAAGUCGAACGGCAGCACAGUAAGAGCUUGCUCUUACGGGUGGCGAGUGGCGGACGGGUGAGGAAUACAUCGGAAUCUACUUUUUCGUGGGGGAUAACGUAGGGAAACUUACGCUAAUACCGCAUACGACCUACGGGUGAAAGCAGGGGAUCUUCGGACCUCGCGCGAUUGAAUGAGCCGAUGUCGGAUUAGCUAGUUGGCGGGGUAAAGGCCCACCAAGGCGACGAUCCGUAGCUGGUCUGAGAGGAUGAUCAGCCACACUGGAACUGAGACACGGUCCAGACUCCUACGGGAGGCAGCAGUGGGGGAUAUUGGACAAUGGGCGCAAGCCUGAUGCAGCCAUACCGCGUGGGUGAAGAAGGCCUUCGGGUUGUAAAGCCCUUUUGUUGGGAAAGAAAAGCAGCAGGUUAAUACCCCGCUGUUCUGACGGUACCCAAAGAAUAAGCACCGGCUAACUUCGUG